rnacentral:rRNA from 1 species
UACGUAGGGCGCAAGCGUUAUCCGGAAUUAUUGGGCGUAAAGAGCUCGUAGGCGGUUUGUCGCGUCUGCCGUGAAAGUCCGGGGCUCAACUCCGGAUCUGCGGUGGUUACGGGCAGACUAGAGUGAUGUAGGGGAGACUGGAAUUCCUGGUGUAGCGGUGAAAUGCGCAGAUAUCAGGAGGAACACCGGUGGCGAAGGCGGGUCUCUGGGCCGAUACUGACGCUGAGGAGCGAAAGCGUGGGGAGCGAACAGG